rnacentral:rRNA from 1 species
CCGGCGAUGUCCGAAUGGGGAAACCCAGUGCAAUUCGUUGCACUAUCGUUAACUGAAUACAUAGGUUAACGAGGCGAACCGGGGGAACUGAAACAUCUAAGUACCCCGAGGAAAAGAAAUCAACCGAGAUUCCCCCAGUAGCGGCGAGCGAACGGGGAGCAGCCCAGAGUCUGAAUCAGCUUGUGUGUUAGUGGAACGGUCUGGAAAGUCCGACGGUACAGGGUGAUAGUCCCGUACACCAAAAUGCACAGGUUGUGAACUCGAAGAGUAGGGCGGGACACGUGGUAUCCUGUCUGAAUAUGGGGGGACCAUCCUCCAAGGCUAAAUACUCCUGACUGACCGAUAGUGAACCAGUACCGUGAGGGAAAGGCGAAAAGAACCCCGGCGAGGGGAGUGAAAAAGAACCUGAAACCGUGUACGUACAAGCAGUGGGAGCACCUUCGGGUGUGACUGCGUACCUUUUGUAUAAUGGGUCAGCGACUUAUAUUCUGUAGCAAGGUUAACCGUAUAGGGGAGCCGCAGGGAAACCGAGUCUUAACUGGGCGUUAAGUUGCAGGGUAUAGACCCGAAACCCGGUGAUCUAGCCAUGGGCAGGUUGAAGGUUGGGUAACACUAACUGGAGGACCGAACCGACUAAUGUUGAAAAAUUAGCGGAUGACUUGUGGCUGGGGGUGAAAGGCCAAUCAAACCGGGAGAUAGCUGGUUCUCCCCGAAAGCUAUUUAGGUAGCGCCUCGUGAAUUCAUCUUCGGGGGUAGAGCACUGUUUCGGCUAGGGGGUCAUCCCGACUUACCAACCCGAUGCAAACUACGAAUACCGAAGAAUGUUAUCACGGGAGACACACGGCGGGUGCUAACGUCCGUCGUGAAGAGGGAAACAACCCAGACCGCCAGCUAAGGUCCCAAAGUCAUGGUUAAGUGGGAAACGAUGUGGGAAGGCACAGACAGCCAGGAUGUUGGCUUAGAAGCAGCCAUCAUUUAAAGAAAGCGUAAUAGCUCACUGGUCGAGUCGGCCUGCGCGGAAGAUGUAACGGGGCUAAACCAUGCACCGAAGCUGCGGCAGCGACACUAUGUGUUGUUGGGUAGGGGAGCGUUCUGUAAGCCUGCGAAGGUGACCUGUGAGGGUUGCUGGAGGUAUCAGAAGUGCGAAUGCUGACAUAAGUAACGAUAAAGCGGGUGAAAAGCCCGCUCGCCGGAAGACCAAGGGUUCCUGUCCAACGUUAAUCGGGGCAGGGUGAGUCGACCCCUAAGGCGAGGCCGAAAGGCGUAGUCGAUGGGAAACAGGUUAAUAUUCCUGUACUUGGUGUUACUGCGAAGGGGGGACGGAGAAGGCUAUGUUAGCCGGGCGACGGUUGUCCCGGUUUAAGCAUGUAGGCUGGUUAUCCAGGCAAAUCCGGAUAAUCAAGGCUGAGGUGUGAUGACGAGGCACUACGGUGCUGAAGUAACAAAUGCCCUGCUUCCAGGAAAAGCCUCUAAGCAUCAGGUAACAUCAAAUCGUACCCCAAACCGACACAGGUGGUCAGGUAGAGAAUACCAAGGCGCUUGAGAGAACUCGGGUGAAGGAACUAGGCAAAAUGGUGCCGUAACUUCGGGAGAAGGCACGCUGGUGUGUAGGUGAAGUCCCUGCGGAUGGAGCUGAGACCAGUCGAAGAUACCAGCUGGCUGCAACUGUUUAUUAAAAACACAGCACUGUGCAAACACGAAAGUGGACGUAUACGGUGUGACGCCUGCCCGGUGCCGGAAGGUUAAUUGAUGGGGUUAUCCGUAAGGAGAAGCUCUUGAUCGAAGCCCCGGUAAACGGCGGCCGUAACUAUAACGGUCCUAAGGUAGCGAAAUUCCUUGUCGGGUAAGUUCCGACCUGCACGAAUGGCGUAAUGAUGGCCAGGCUGUCUCCACCCGAGACUCAGUGAAAUUGAACUCGCUGUGAAGAUGCAGUGUACCCGCGGCAAGACGGAAAGACCCCGUGAACCUUUACUAUAGCUUGACACUGAACAUUGAGCCUUGAUGUGUAGGAUAGGUGGGAGGCUUUGAAGCGUGGACGCCAGUCUGCGUGGAGCCAACCUUGAAAUACCACCCUUUAAUGUUUGAUGUUCUAACGUUGGCCCCUGACCGGGGUUGCGGACAGUGUCUGGUGGGUAGUUUGACUGGGGCGGUCUCCUCCCAAAGCGUAACGGAGGAGCACGAAGGUUAGCUAAUCCUGGUCGGACAUCAGGAGGUUAGUGCAAUGGCAUAAGCUAGCUUGACUGCGAGCGUGACGGCGCGAGCAGGUGCGAAAGCAGGUCAUAGUGAUCCGGUGGUUCUGAAUGGAAGGGCCAUCGCUCAACGGAUAAAAGGUACUCCGGGGAUAACAGGCUGAUACCGCCCAAGAGUUCAUAUCGACGGCGGUGUUUGGCACCUCGAUGUCGGCUCAUCACAUCCUGGGGCUGAAGUAGGUCCCAAGGGUAUGGCUGUUCGCCAUUUAAAGUGGUACGCGAGCUGGGUUUAGAACGUCGUGAGACAGUUCGGUCCCUAUCUGCCGUGGGCGCUGGAGAAUUGAGGGGGGCUGCUCCUAGUACGAGAGGACCGGAGUGGACGCAUCACUGGUGUUCGGGUUGUCAUGCCAAUGGCACUGCCCGGUAGCUAAAUGCGGAAGAGAUAAGUGCUGAAAGCAUCUAAGCACGAAACUUGCCCCGAGAUGAGUUCUCCCUGAGACUUUAAGUCUCCUGAAGGAACGUUAAAGACGAUGACGUUGAUAGGCCGGGUGUGUAAGCGCAGCGAUGCGUUGAGCUAACCGGUACUAAUGAACCGUGAGGCUUAACCUU